AGGGAGGAGAGAGGUACUCUGAAAAGUUUGCAGAGUGGGUAGGAAAUGACUGGAGCAUAGAGGAGAGUGAUCAGUGAUGGUGCAGUAGUUAGUGAGUGGUGGUGGGCUUGAUGGAGAGUGAGUGGUGGUGCUGGAGUGGUGGAGAGUGAGUGGUGAUGGUAGAUUGGAUGGAGAGUGAGUGGUGGUAGGACUGGGGGAGAGAGAGUGGUGAUGGUGUUGUAGGUGGAGAGUGAGUGGUGGUGCUGGAGUGGUGGAGAGUGAGUGGUGAUGGUGUUAUAGGUGGAGAAAGAGUGGUGAUGGUAGAUUGGAC
rnacentral:lncRNA from 1 species